AUUGAACGCUGGCGGCAGGCCUAACACAUGCAAGUCGAACGGUAACAGGAAGCAGCUUGCUGCUUUGCUGACGAGUGGCGGACGGGUGAGUAAUGUCUGGGAAACUGCCCGAUGGAGGGGGAUAACUACUGGAAACGGUAGCUAAUACCGCAUAACGUCGCAAGACCAAAGAGGGGGACCUUAGGGCCUCUUGCCAUCGGAUGUGCCCAGAUGGGAUUAGCUAGUAGGUGGGGUAACGGCUCACCUAGGCGACGAUCCCUAGCUGGUCUGAGAGGAUGACCAGCCACACUGGAACUGAGACACGGUCCAGACUCCUACGGGAGGCAGCAGUGGGGAAUAUUGCACAAUGGGCGCAAGCCUGAUGCAGCCAUGCCGCGUGUAUGAAGAAGGCCUUCGGGUUGGAAAGUACUUUCAGCGGGGAGGAAGGGAGUAAAGUUAAUACCUUUGCUCAUUGACGUUACCCGCAGAAGAAGCACCGGCUAACUCCGUG
rnacentral:rRNA from 1 species